AAUCGUCGUGGACGAAUUGGUAGAGUCACUGGCUAUAGCGGCCAGGGAAAACAUUGCGUGAGGGUUCGACUCCCUUCGGCGAUUG
rnacentral:tRNA from 1 species